rnacentral:rRNA from 1 species
UACGUAGGGGGCAAGCGUUAUCCGGAUUUACUGGGUGUAAAGGGAGCGCAGACGGAUGGAUAAGUCUGAAGUGAAAGCCCGCGGCUCAACUGCGGGACUGCUUUGGAAACUGUGCAUCUUGAGUACGGGAGGGGCAGGCGGAAUUCCUGGUGUAGCGGUGAAAUGCGUAGAUAUCAGGAGGAACACCGGCGGCGAAGGCGGCCUGCUGGACCGAAACUGACGUUGAGGCUCGAAAGCGUGGGGAGUAAACAGG